UACGUAGGGGGCGAGCGUUGUCCGGAAUUAUUGGGCGUAAAGAGCUCGUAGGCGGUUUGUCGCGUCGGCCGUGAAAACUUGGGGCUUAACUCCAAGCUUGCGGUCGAUACGGGCAGACUUGAGUUCGGCAGGGGAGACUGGAAUUCCUGGUGUAGCGGUGAAAUGCGCAGAUAUCAGGAGGAACACCGGUGGCGAAGGCGGGUCUCUGGGCCGAUACUGACGCUGAGGAGCGAGAGCGUGGGGAGCGAACAGG
rnacentral:rRNA from 1 species